rnacentral:rRNA from 1 species
AUUGAACGCUGGCGGCAGGCCUAACACAUGCAAGUCGAACGGCAGCACAGAAGAGCUUGCUCUUUGGGUGGCGAGUGGCGGACGGGUGAGUAAUGUCUGGGAAACUGCCCGAUGGAGGGGGAUAACUACUGGAAACGGUAGCUAAUACCGCAUAACGUCGCAAGACCAAAGUGGGGGACCUUCGGGCCUCACACCAUCGGAUGUGCCCAGAUGGGAUUAGCUAGUAGGUGGGGUAAUGGCUCACCUAGGCGACGAUCCCUAGCUGGUCUGAGAGGAUGACCAGCCACACUGGAACUGGGACACGUUCCAGACUCCUACGGGAGGCAGCAGUGGGGAAUAUUGCACAAUGGGCGCAAGCCUGAUGCAGCCAUGCCGCGUGUAUGAAGAAGGCCUCCGGGUUGUAAAGUACUUUCAGCGGGGAGGAAGGCGGUGAGGUUAAUAACCUUGCCGAUUGACGUUACCCGCAGAAGAAGCACCGGCUAACUCCGUGCCAGCCGCCGCGGUAA